CAGUCGCCGCGGUAAUACGGAGGGUGCAAGCGUUAAUCGGAAUUACUGGGCGUAAAGCGCACGCAGGCGGUCUGACAAGUCAGAUGUGAAAUCCCCGGGCUUAACCUGGGAACUGCAUUUGAAACUGUCAGGCUGGAGUCUUGUAGAGGGGGGUAGAAUUCCAGGUGUAGCGGUGAAAUGCGUAGAGAUCUGGAGGAAUACCGGUGGCGAAGGCGGCCCCCUGGACAAAGACUGACGCUUAGGUGCGAAAGCGUGGGGAGCAAACAGGAUUAGAUACCCGAGUAGUCCCUGUCCCUUAUAC
rnacentral:rRNA from 1 species